AAUUUGAAAAUCUGUAGAGGACUGAAUGUUAGAAUUAAAUAUUGUUCACUUCAAACAAUAAUGCAGUUGGCAGCCAAGGUAAAGUGUUAAUCCUUUUAUUUACAAAACCUUCAAAAUAGCAGUUAAACAUUAUCUAAUUGAAGCUUCAUUUAACUAACUAACUUUAUACUAACUUUAAAACAUCAAAUUAAAAUUACAUUCACUGAAAGAUAACUAAGAACUGUUUGUAUGUCGCUCAUUUAAUUCAUUUGAAAUUUGUAUUCAAAUUCAUUAAUGUGUUGGAGAUAAAACAGCGCCAAUAAAGUACAAUAUUUUUUUUAAAAUCUGUAUAAUUAAUGUCUUUAUGGUAAGUGCGUGGUUUAAUUGACGUUACAAAAAAUACUGAUAUUUAUUGAAACCAACGGUAAUGUUUUUCCCCCCAUUUUAUAAGAGAAAAAAAUGUAUUUUUUAAAAUGCAAAAUAUUCAUUUACCAAAACCAUUUGUUAUAUCCAAGUGACGUUCAGCGCAGUUAAUAUAACUUUUCUCCAAGUUAAUGGAGUGACAAAUCGGGAAAAGUCGUUUAACCUAAAAGUUUAAUGGACCGAUAUACCUCACGGCUGAAAAUCAACAUGAAGACAGAGUAAAUAUUAUACUUUCAUUUAAGCCCUGUCGUAGAGCAGUUGUUUUGUUGUAAAAUCGCGUUAAAGUGGGACUUUCGGUAUUUUUUUAUUUUUUUAUUUUCAAAUACUGGAACGCUUAUAUAAAAUUCCAGAAUGAAGAUAUCAUCAAACAAUUGAUAUCAGAUGAAAGAGUGAUGUAUCAGCUUAUAUUUGACAUCAAACUUUAUUAUCAUGUGAACAUAUAAAUUGAGUGAAUUGGACGAUUUUUAAAUUUAUGUAACAUUUUGUUCAAUCUUACCGUCUGUAAAAGUAUAUUACAUUCCUUAUAUAUAUAUUACCAAAAGUAAGUUUUCACAAAAAAUAGUGAAACAACCAAUAUUUGAUGGAUGUGAAGUUAGCAGCCGGUUCGUUAUUCGAUAUUCGAUAUUCAAUAUCCAACCGGCUGCUAGCAGUCAGUUCGAUAUUCAAAUUUAGUUGAAAAUCAUAAUAACAAAUAAAGUAUUAAGGUUCAUGUGAACCCUUUGUCUUCUUUGUUAACGGAGGGCCCAAAGUGCCAGUUGGAUAUUCAAAAUAUAUAUCGGAAACCUACCUGAGACCGCUUAAAUGACGAUGAGACCCCCUAUUCUUUCAAUGUUUAUAACAUUCGAGGAAUUCAUAGACUCUGUAUAUAUAAAGAUUGUUUCGAAAGGAUUUCCCAGAAUAAUGUCAUCUUUUAUAUAUACGGAGGGCUUAGAUUGUCACUUUUCAGCUAAAAAUUGUCAAAACUUCUGGACAAAGGGCACAGGGCAAUAAUAAGAGCCCUCUGAUCUCUCAAUCCGUUUAAUAUUAAACAGACAUUUAUAGAUAGAAUGAUACAAGUACGACUAAAAGGAAUUUUGGUAUACUUCAUGUCUUCUAUGUUUAUGGAGGUCCCAAGGUGCCAGUUGGAUAUUCAAAAUAUAUAGCAAAACCUACAUGAGACCGCUUAAAUGACGGUGAGACCCCCUAUUCUCUCAAUGUCCAUAACAUUCGAGGAAUUCUAAGACUCUGAAUAUAUCAAGAUUGUAUCAAAAGGAUUUUCCAGAAUAAUGUCAACUUUGAUAUAUACGGAGGGCUUAGGUUGUCACUUUUCAGCUAAAAACUUGUCUUUUAAUCUUUUGUAACCAGCCAUUAAAAACAAUCCAGGCCUCAAAUUUUUCCAGUCAUUGUUUUGCAUCUUCGGAAGGGUGUCCUGAAAAAGUAUCCAUAGCGAUGUUUGACGCACUGUUGCCACGUUUUGUAUUUAUUUCCAUCACAUGAGUCAUUUUAUUGAGGGUAAUAAGAAGUUCAUCCAAUUGGGGUUCCUUUGUCUCCGAUUUUCCACCACUAGCUUCCGCGGAUUUAUGCUCGUCUCCAGGCAUUUCAGUUACUUAUCUAUUUCUUAAAUUGUAUGACAUUCAAUCCGAAUCCUCCACCAGAUAUAACGGGGCUUUCUUGUGUGUGUGUUUGUGUUUUGUACUACAAGUCAUUAUUUCGGGAAUAUGAAUCCGGGAACGAUAACUCCAUCUUGCCCGUUAAUAUAGGGAACUAGCUAUUGUAUAUAUGCCACAAUAAAGUAACUGUUAGAAUUGAACUAAGUCUCCUUAAUGUUCACAUGUUUAAUCUUAUAAAAGUACAUGUAUAUAUCUAUAAAAUAUUUGAAGGUUCACAAUUAUAACUUCCAAUACAAAACGUUACUAAAUAUCAGCUCUAUAAAACAACAUGUUACUUCAAGCUACUACUCUAAUAUAUCUGACCAAUACAUAAAGUUUCUCACACGAUCGAGCUAUAAACUUGUUCUUAAUUUAUGUAAGGCAUUGAUUAAUGGUCUUAAAGUAUUUGGAUAAACUUGUAAAUGCUAUUGCAGUUCAACUGUGCAACUAAUGUAUCGUAUAAAGCGUCACAUUAAAUAAGAUGAAAAAUCAUUAAACUGAAUAAGAACUGACCAUCAAAUCUUAGAUGUAAUUGAUUACGCCACACUAUUCUUAAGUAUGAGAUGGCACCAGGUUUCUCUCAAAAUUCGUCUUUUUUUCAUAUUUGUUUUCUUGAAAAAUUGGCCAAAUCUUUAUAUAAUACAAUGUAUGAAUAUAAAUUUACUUGAAAUGUCAAAAAAUUGGUUUCAUUUAACCAGGGACUUUCUAUACUAAAACGAUACGUCUAAGUUUAAUAAUUCAUCAUUCUUUCAAAAUCUUAUAUUUUUUGUCAUCGUAAAUGACUAUUAAAAAGAUUUUGUAUUAACAACUAAUUAUAUUUAUAUAUUAACAAUAUACUGUGAAAUACGCAAAUAACUACUAGCAUCGUAUAUCAGAGAUACGAAACUAACUUUAUUGUUUGGUGGUAGUUUUAACAGGCGGCUUAACAAUCAGUUUAAAUCAAUAGAGACUAGUCUCGUUAGUAUGAAAGUCCCUGAUUUAACUUAAGGUAUAUUGUCUCAGGAACAUUUACCUCUAUUUUUUUACAGGGCUGUAAAUACAUAAAUGCAAACGCCUCAUGUAGGAAAUUUCAAAAGCAAAAGCUAGUCUACAUCAAAUUGUUUUCACGGCGAGCAAGAAGCAAGUUCUGUUCACUCUCUUACGUAGCCCCAUUUUUUCGGGAUCCAUGUUUCUCAUUAAUUUUUAGUUUUCAGUGCUAUCUGUCUUGUGUUUGUUGUUUUGGGUUUUAUCUGUUGCCGUGUUUGUCUUUUGUUCAUUUGUUGCCCUUCUUUAUUCUCUUAGUUUUGCAUUUCAAUUGUUAAUUUAGUAAUUUUGUUUUAAACAUGAGUUUUAUUUUAUUUAAGAACUUUAUAUCUAACUUUAUGAACUUCUUUAAAUUGUAUUCCAGUUAGGAGAUACAUCAAGUUGUAGUUAUAAUGUGUUAUAAAAACUUAGCUGACAUAGUUGUAUCAAUGAUAAUCAGCCCCCUUUUAACUUAAUUUGACAACCCAAAUAAUUGACAGGUAUGAAAAAUUAUCUGCAGGCAAAACAUCGCUAAAAAAUAAAGCCGCCAGAUACUUAACUUUGUGAAUUACAACUAUGUGAAUUACAUGUUUUGCUUUAUCCUACAAAUUGGUCUUUUAAAUUAUCAAAUUGGUCGUCCCCUUAUUGUAUAUUAAAAUUUACUUUUAAUCAAAUGGCAUCAAAUUAUAUAUUUGUUCAUUUGUUCAACUUUAUGAAGUUCUUUGUUAUGUCGACCCUUAUUUCAGAGGUUACAAAUAGUCGAUAAACUUUCGACCCAAACACGAUUACAUUUUCGUUGUCAGUUACAAAUUGCAACAACAAAAAAAAAAAAAGUCCUGCGUUCACAAGUUAAUCGCAUUUGAGUUGCAUUAACUUAUGCUGCGUUCACACACAAUACCGAAUUAGUAAUUAGUUUAGUUCGCAUUCGAAACAUUUUAUGUCCUAACGUUAAUUCUAAUACGAAUUGCAAUGCGCGUCAAAUUCGCUUUACUGUCCUAACGACGGACGUUAACUUUAACUUUUAAUUCGCAUAAUCAAUGAAACCACCGUAUAAUUAAUUCGAAUUAAUGCGAAUUAGCCAAUCCUUAUUCGAUUAUGAAAAGAAGAGAGUGAUAACGCAAUUAGCGAAUUCGAUUCGCAAUCGAAUCGAAUGUACGUGUGAUCGAGGUCUUAUUCGAGUUAGUUUAAUUCGCAUUCGAAACGCUACAGGUCUCACAACGCAAAUUCUAAUACGAAUUGUAAUGUGCUUCAAAUUCGCUUUAAUGUCCUAACGACGUAAACUUUAAAUUCGCAUUAUCAAUAAAUUACUGAUAACUUAAAUCGAUUUACAAUUUAGAAAGUGUCCAUACCAUCGUUUAAUUUGAAUUAAUGCGAAUUAACUAACUCGAACGAAAAUGCAUUUCUAAUGCGAAUUGGAUAAUGCGUAUAAUUCAGUUCUAUCUAUUCGAACCAAAAAUAAGAGGAGUUUGUGAACGAGUUUAACAAAUUCGAUACGUAUUUGAUUCAAAUUAAAUUCGAAUAAAUGUACGUGUGAACAAGGCAUACAUCUUUUUAUCUUCUUUUUGUUCACUCGAAAACAUAAAAACACAGUCGCAUAUUCAACACACAUCUUUUUUAAAGACGAAAAUUGUUAUGUAAUGUUACUUUGGCCUGUAAUAGUUUAGUUUUACAAAUUGUGACUCAAAUCCAUUCUAUUAGAAAAAUCAAAUUAUUACAGAAGAGUGACGCGUCCAACAAAUACUUACACUGCACUAUUAUCAAUAUAGUAGAAUAAAAUGAUAUACAAAUGCAUGAAAAUAAUUUGUACAUGUACCAGUAAUAUCCAAGUAUUAAUAUAAUAUAUAACAAUAAACCAAAGUAUACUGAUUAUAUCUGUACAUUAACCUCACUUUCAGGUAUAGAGAUGUGAUUUUUUUUCUGAAACAAGUGUUUUUCGGACCAUCCACAAGAACUUGCGGUCAUCCAAUUUCAGUAAUUCCGUACUUUGAUUAUCAAUUGAAUUCUCUGAUCUACCUCUCACUAAUUGAGAUAUUAUUUUUUUUGAAUAUCUGUUUCACAUGUGACGACGGAUAUGUUCCAGUUGUCGUAACCAUAAUACCGUCAUCUUUUCCUCGAAUGUGAACUACCAAAUAAAAGCAAAUCGCUGGGUUUGUACUUUCACGAAUAACACGACGGGUGCCUAACAUCGAGCAGAAUCUCUUAAAUUUUUGGAGCACCUGAGAUCACCCCGAUGUAUUUAUAUUACCCAGUCAUAGCGAUCUAUUGAGUCGGCCAAUUGAAACUGUUUUUUAUGCCCCUGCAACUGAAAGUGUGUGUGUGUGUGGGGGGGGAGGAUAAUGUUUCACCCCCAUCCGCCCGUCCGUCCCAUUAUGGGUAUAUAGUUAUUCCGCAUAACUUAUCCUACAGUUUGAAUCUUAGGAAGAUUUCUCUUUACUGUCUGUUUGAACAUAUAUUGAAGGUGUGCAUGUGGUCAGGGUUUUUAGUUUUAUUAAUUUUUGCUCUUUUGGGAGGUAAUUGAACUCAUUUUUUUGGGGUAUAAGCAGUUGAAUGUUAUAGUUAUUUUUAAAUUACACUUUGCAUCUGCAGGGGCAGCAAUUGUGUCUCCCAGACACAAUAAUAUCCCAAGGAAGUCAUACGUUGACUUUGUUAUAAUACAGUUGCUUUAGAGUGAACUGCGGGGAGUAUCACUUUUGUCUAUUUUACAUUUUGUUCUCAUGUUGUGCUGUUACACUACUACAACAGUCCGAUGUUAGUUAAUAUUUAGCGCUCACAUACAUGUUAAACUCCGCCACGUGCACUUUCUUUAUAAACUUGCCCCAAGUCAGGAUCAUGAAGUUCAACUGUUGUCGUUGAAUUAUGUGUGUCAUAUUUUUUUUGUAGAUUGACUAUACGAUGUGUUGAAGGCUGUACGGUUGCCUAUACAUGAUUUCGUACAUCCACUGCAUUUAAACUCUGGUGGCAAUUGGCACUCACGUCUAACUUUAUUUCAACUUCUAUGUUGCGUUUUGUAUACUGUAACAUUGUUUAUCUCAGUUUGUACGCAUUCCUCGGAGCCUCUUUUCGGAAGCCCUAGCAAAAGCUCUUGGUCCACGAUAGAAAAUUUAAAUACGAACUCAUAUAAGAUAGCUCGAAUUUCAACUCGAAAUCUUAAUUAAUCUAAAUGAGACUUAAAUUCGAAUCUUACUCAGACUCUACCUCAAAAAGUGACUCAGAUUCAAAGUUAUAACUAGAACUCUACCUUUAGAUGUGACUCAAACUAAAGUUCAACUCGAAACGCAAUGCUUACUAGAACUUUAAUUUUAUAAUGAUGGCUUGAAUUCGAAAUCGAAGACUGACUCAUAGUUUUCCUUAACAGUAACCCGAACUUUAUCAUUACGUAAUGUCAAAACCAUAUUAAGUAAAGACAAAAUAUAAUUAAGUUAUAGUAGGACAACAUAACGUUUUAUCGUCCUUCCCUCUGCCUAUAUCAACCUGCUCUGUUGCUCCGUAAUUCUCGUAUCAAGACUUCAAAACGAGACCAGGCAUUAUCAGUGACGUCACAAUGUGAGAAGAGAAGUUAUCAGCGACGUCACAAUGUGAGAGGAGACGUUAUCAAGCUUGCUUUUUUCAAGCGUUAAACUGUCUUAGGGAGAAAGAAACGACCAGUAAUAGAACGAUAAAAAGAUAAUCGGGUUUUCUUCGUAUAGAUAUCGUAAAAUAUCAGCCGCUCGACACGAUGUGAAACUUUUUAGCUCGUUCGCUACGCUCACUCGCCAAAAAGGUUCACAUUGUGGCUCGCGGCUGAUAUUUUACGAUAUCAAUGUGUAGAAAACCCGAUAAUCUAUACAUAUCAGAGUUCCACAUAAGACAGCUGUGGCGUUCCAUAUAAUGUAGUUGUUUCAUUACCUAAUGUGGUUUUGUUAUUUCGUAAUGAUGAUUUGUCUAUUCUUUAUAUGGUUUUAACAUUACGUAAUAAGUUCCACAUAAGACAGCCCAGCACUUCUAUGUUGACAUGAGUUAUCAUUGAUAUGGUCAUACUUAUAAACUAAAAGUGUAAACAACUUUGAAAUAUGAAAUACUAAGGCUUUUUCACCUCAGAAAUAGAGUACCUUAGCUGUAUUUUACAAAACUUUUAGGAGGUUUGGUCAUCAGUGCUCUUCAACUUCGUACUUUAUUUGACUCUUUUAACAUUUUUGUAUUCGAGUGUCGCUGAUAAGUCUUUUGUAGACGAAAGGCUCGUCUGGUGCAAAUACGAGAUAUCAAUCCUGGUAUCUAUGAUGAGUUUAUUUACAACCACUUGGUCGAUUCCACUGCUGGUAGAGUUUUUAUUGCCCUAGGGUAUCACGAGCCCAGUAUUCAGCAAUUAUGUGUUGACAUAAAUUAUCAUAAUUAUACAUUAAUAGUUAGCACAACUUUGAAUGUUUGAAAUACUUAAGCUUUUAUACAUCAGGUAUCGAUUACUUGUUUUGUAUUUUGCAAAAUGUUAGGAAUUUGUGGUCCUCAGUGCUCUUCAACUUCGUACAUUUGUUGGCUUUCUUUUAACAGUAUUGAGGGUCAUAGAUGAGUCUUUUGUAGACAAAACAUCCUGUAAAUAUCCUGUACCUAGGAAUAUGGCAGUUGUUAUCUAUUAUAAUUCGUUUAUAUGUAUGUUGGCAUUUGUUUUUGUUGCACGUCAGUGUGUCUGUUGUUUUGUUGUUUUCCUCUUAGAUAGUUGAUGUGUGUCCCUCGGUUUAAGUUUGUUAUCCGGAUUUGUGUUCUCUCAAUCGAUUUAUGACUUUUGAACAGAGUAUACUUAUGUUGACUUUAUAUAACGUUACAUAUAGUAAAAUAAUGGUAUGAACAAACAUGUUCGCUGGGUCAUACCUAAUAAGGAUAACCUUAACCGUUAUCAAUAAAGACAUAUAAGUCAUAGGGUUUUAGUAAACAACGUUUAAGUAAGAUUGCAAAAUGCAAAGAUCAUAUCUGCUUGUUCAUUUAAAUUGCAUGCUGACAAAAUAUAUCUCGAUGAAAUAUUAUUUAAUCAUCAUAUCAUCAUAUUAAUCCAGUUGGUAAUGUGCAAAAUAUACCUUCGUGUUUUUUGUGAAAACAUAUCGAGGCCCGUAAUUUUUAAUUACUUUCGUUGUACAAAUAACCAUACAAUAUUCAUAAGUCAAUGAGGUAGCAUCCAUGCACAAUAUAUAAUCAGAUAUCUAGUCCUAGUUCCAUAAAAAAGGUAUUGUGUAAGUUCGUUUGAAGGUCAUGAUAAUGUGGGAAAUAUAAACUGUGUGUAGUAUGGAAUGAAUAGUAAUAUGUAAUUUUGCUAUAGAGUAUUCAUUUACACAGGUUGAUAGUACGUAUAAUUUAUUUAGGGUGAGCUGUUUUUUCUCACUUUUUGAACACAACCUUUUUUGCAAAGUACUGUUGGACAAAAUUUACAUUUUCAUCAUGUCCUUGCUAAGGGUAUUUUCACAGUAAGUACUAGUCCAGCCCAUGCAUUUCCCAAAUCACCUUAUGUGUGACAGAUGAAUAGAAAUAUAGUCAUUUAGAUUUUUAUCCGAUUGCUCGUGGUGCCCUUGUCAAAGAAGGGUGUCCGUUUGGCUUUGCGGGAUGAGCAGGUACUCAGCCACGUCCAUCUUCGUCUCGGACAGUCUCUAUAACAGGUUAAACAUAGUGUAUGCAUUGUGGAUUUGUUCUUGUCCUUAACAUGCAUGAAAUGUUUGCAACUAGAUAUUUAUCAAUCCAAAUCAAUCAAUUAAUUAUUUUACCAAUUCCUUUUUUCGCUUAUUAUGCGCUGUUUUAGCAAACGUAAUCAGGAUAUCUCUAGAACUGUAAAAUGUGCAUAAAUUUAUAAAAAAAAGUGUUUUAAAUGCAAUCAUCCUGGUGUUUAAAGAUAGAGUAGAACGGAAUACAACCUUUGAGUUAUGAUAUUAAUUUUGGUCAAAUGUCAAACACGACCACACAAGCGCCGUCUAUUUUUCAACUACACUGUCGACACGGUUGGUUGAAAGUUUUUAAAUGCAUAUUAUAUCUUUUAAGUUACUUAAUGUAUUUGCAUAUAUAUUACUAAGAAAAUUGAGAGUACAUUACAAUGACAUUUUUUUUAGGUCUUACAAGAAACGGAACAAUUCAUAUUGCAACAUGGAACGACAACAUUGGUGUUCAUUUUGUCGUAUCCCUUUUGAGAAUAAGUACAGUUUAAGAGGUCAUCUUUAUAUCCAUGCAAAACAACCACGCGUUCCCUGUAGUAUAUGUCCGUUAACAUUUGCGCAUUAUAGUCAAUUAGGGAAACAUCUCAGAUAUAUGCAUUCAGAUUAUAUCAUCAACACGUUUGUUGAAAAUGCUGAAAGUAUUUAUAGAAAAA
rnacentral:lncRNA from 1 species